UCUCAAAAAUAAACAAACAUUAAAAAAAAAAAAAAGGAAACCUAUCAAGGCUAUGAAAACAGUUCACAGGAAACAUAAAUGUUUGGAGGGGGAAGGGGGAUGGUAUUACUUGCUCAAAACAAGUGCAAAAUAAAACAAUGAUGUACAUUUUUUAGUGAGCAGUAUUAGCAUAAUCAUAAGGUUAAUACUGAUUACUGAAUAAAAAUUAGGAUAUUAAUUUAUUGGGAAAGGAGAUAAUUUAUAGAGAUACAUGUAGGAGAGGAGCACCUGGGUGGCUCAGUUGGUUAAGUGUCCACCUCUUGAUUUUGACUCAGAUCAUGAUCUCAUAGUUCGUGGGAUCGAGCCCUGUGUUGGAUAAUACAUGCAUCUGUCCACGCAGAGUCGGCUUGGGAUUCUCUCUCUCCCUCUCUCUCUCUCUGCAGAUACCUCCCUCCAUCCCUCCCUCUCUAAAAUAAAUUACAUACAUACAUACAUACAAACAUACAUAAAUGUAAAAAAAUUCUUUAAAGAUACAUGUGGGAGAGCUAAGUUCUUAUUUACUAUAGCAGCAGAAUCAUUAGAAAACAUAUAAAAUUGAUAAAUCAAGUUAAAAGCAUUUUAUUUAGAGAUGUGGAGGUAAAUACCAAAAGAAAUAGCUCUGAGAGUAGAAAGUAGUUUCUUUUGGGGAGCAGGUCUUUAGAGAGUUUUCACUUAUAAGCCUUUUAGAAUGAUUAUACUUUUAAAAUUAUGUUCAUAGAUUUUUUUAUUGGAAAAAAAAGGGUUAUAAAAGUGACAAUCAACUUACCUUAACUGCCAUGAAGAGCUCUUCCUUAAGCUGUGCAGUUUGCUCAGAUGAGAGCUGUAAGCAAACAAAAAGCCGAAAGUAAAACAUUGGACAUCUAUCAGAGCUCCAUCAAGAUUCAGGAGAGAAAUCUGGACUUUAGCAAUCACAUACCUGCAGGGCUAGAAUAGAGGUGAUGCUCACUGCCAUUGUUUGCAUCUUGGGGUUCUCAUGCUUACAAAGCCAUCUCAUAACAAACUUGGCAGCAUCAAACCUGAAAAAACAGGUUUUUUUUCUCACAAUGAAGUUUUAAACAGUACAUGAGGAGAGAAGAAAUCACUUAACCUCCCCAACAAACCCUGUAUCUUGGAUUUCUAAACCCUCAGGCAUGAAAAUCAAGAGCACCUGGCAAAAAGAAGAGAAGGUCAAAAGAGGAAGAGGACAGAAGGCAAAUAAGAAUGUAAGCAAAAUGCACAGAAUUCAAAAACCCCAUGAUUUCAAGCACUGAAGUGGUCUAUCUGCCCCCAAACACAGGGUCUCUAAUUCAGCCUCUAGAUCAGGGUGAUAGGGACCUUUAAGGCUCAUUACACACAGUACUCUAUGGAAGGACUGUCAACAUUUUGGAAGAGAAUCCCGACAGAACAUCAUGAAAGUCUGGAAGUAUUACACCAUCGAAGAUGCAACUAUUGUUACAGGAAAAGCCAUAAAAGCCAUCAAGCCGGAGACAGUAAAUUUCUGCUGGAGAAAACUGUAUCCAUUUGCUGUGUAUGACUUUAUAGGAUUUAUGACAGCCAAUCAAGGAAAUCAUGAAAGAGACUGUAGAUAUGGCCAAAAAAAGGUGGGGGGUGAAGUUUCAAGAUACAGAUCUUGGAGAAAUUCAAGAGUUAAUAGACCCCACACCAGAGGAAUUAACAGAUGUCAAUUUGAUACAGAUGAGCGCUUCCAAAUCAGUGCUGGACAGCAAGGAAGAAGAUGUAGGAGAAGCAGUACCAGAUAAUAGAUUGACAUUAGACAGUCGGGCAGAAGGAUCCCAAUUAUUCAAGACUGCUUUUGACUUAUUUUAUAACAUGGACCCUUCUAUAAUACGGGCAAUGAAACUAAAGCAAAUGGUGGAAGAAAAAUUGGUACUGUAUAGAAAUAUCUCUAGAGAAAUGGAAAAGCAAAGAAGUCAGACAGAGAUUAUGAUGCAGUAAAGUUAUACCAAGUGUGGCUGCCUCCCCUUCCAUGUCCUCCACCUCUUUCACCCCCAAGACAGCAAGAUUAACCCCUCCUCUGUCUCCUCAGCCUGGUUAACAUGAAAACAAUGAGGAUGAAGACCUUUAUGAUGAUCCAAUUCUACUUAAUGAGCAGUAAAUAAUCAUCAUGCCUACAGUUAAUAAACCUCUCUGUUGUGUAUGUAUCUUCA